rnacentral:rRNA from 1 species
UACGUAGGGUGCAAGCGUUGUCCGGAAUUAUUGGGCGUAAAGAGCUCGUAGGCGGUCUGUCACGUCGGCUGUGAAAUCCCGAGGCUCAACCUCGGGUCUGCAGUCGAUACGGGCAAACUAGAGUAUUGCAGGGGAGGCUGGAAUUCCUGGUGUAGCAGUGAAAUGCGUAGAGAUCAGGAGGAAUACCGAUGGCGAAGGCAGGUCUCUGGGCUGAUACUGACUCAUGCACGAAAGCGUGGGGAGCAAACAGG